rnacentral:rRNA from 1 species
CGGUGUUCAACUGGCGUGCCCGCGGGACGUCCUGCCGGUGAGCUCAGCCCGCGAGGGCGGCUCAACUUGAAAUCCCAUCGCGGUGCUCUUCAUUGAGUGUCGAGGUGGGCCGGCACGAUUACUUUUGAACAAAUUAGAGUGCUUAAAGCAGGCUAAAAUUUUGCCUGAAUACUGUGUAUAUGGAAUAAUGGAAUAGGACCUCGGUUCUAUUUUGUUGGUUUUCGGAACCCCGAGGUAAUGAUUAAUAGGAACGGAUGGGGGCAUUCGUAUUGCGACGUUAGAGGUGAAAUUCUUGGAUCGUCGCAAGACGGACUAAAGCGAAAGCAUUUGCCCAAAACGCUUUCAUUGAUCAAGAACGAAAGUUAGAGGUUCGAAGGCGAUCAGAUACCGCCCUAGUUCUAACCAUAAACUAUGCCAGCUAGCGAUCCGCCGACGUCCCUCUGAUGACUCGGCGGGCAGCUUCCGGGAAACCAAAGCUUUUGGGUUCCGGGGGAAGUAUGGUUGCAAAGCUGAAACUUAAAGGAAUUGACGGAAGGGCACCACCAGGAGUGGAGCCUGCGGCUUAAUUUGACUCAACACGGGAAACCUCACCAGGCCCAGACACUGGAAGGAUUGACAGAUUGAGAGCUCUUUCUUGAUUCAGUGGGUGGUGGUGCAUGGCCGUUCUUAGUCGGUGGAGCGAUUUGUCAGGUUAAUUCCGAUAACGGACGAGACUCUGACCUGAUAACUAGACGCACUUGCGGCAUCUCAAAGGUCCGCCGGCGGCUGGCUUUGCGCCCGUCGUCGCGCGCGAUUUUUACUGCCGGCGUACAAUAAAUUCUUCUUAGAGGGACAAGUGG